rnacentral:rRNA from 1 species
UACUAACGCUGGCGGCGUGCUUAACACAUGCAAGUCGAACGGAAAGGCCCUGCUUUUGUGGGGUGCUCGAGUGGCGAACGGGUGAGUAACACGUGAGUAACCUGCCCUUGACUUUGGGAUAACUUCAGGAAACUGGGGCUAAUACCGGAUAGGAGCUCCUGCUGCAUGGUGGGGGUUGGAAAGUUUCGGCGGUUGGGGAUGGACUCGCGGCUUAUCAGCUUGUUGGUGGGGUAGUGGCUUACCAAGGCUUUGACGGGUAGCCGGCCUGAGAGGGUGACCGGCGGCAGUGGGAAUUAUAGAAGGACGAGAGUCGUACGGGAGGAAGCAGGGGGGAAGAGUGCAGAAUGGGCGGGGGCCUGAUGCCGCAACGCCGCGUGCGGGAUGACGGGCGUCGGGGUGUAAACCGCUGUCGCCUGUGACGAAGCGUGAGUGACGGUAAUGGGUAAAGAAGAAGCGGCUAACUACGUG